rnacentral:rRNA from 1 species
CCUCCCUACGGGGCGCAGCAGUGGGGGAUAUUGCACAAUGGGGGGAACCCUGAUGCAGCGACGCCGCGUGGGUGAAGGAGCGUUUCGGCGCGUAAAGCCCUAUCGGCAGGGGAGAAGAUGACGGUAUCUGACCAAGAAGCCCCGGCUAACUACGUGCCAGCAGCCGCGGCAAUACGUAGGGGGCAAGCGUUAUCCGGAUUUACUGGGUGUAAAGGGGGCGCAGACGGCAAUGCAAGCCAGGAGUGAAAGCCCGGGGCCCAACCCCGGGGCUGCUCUUGGCACGGCAUGGCUGGAGU